GCGGGUAGCUCAGUUGGAUAGAGCGUUGGCCUCCGGAGCCAAAGGUCGUGGGUUCGACUCCCGUCCCGC
rnacentral:tRNA from 1 species